AGUCGAGCGCGAAUUGGGGGGCAACUCCCAUAGUAGAGCGGCAAACGGGUGAGUAACGCGUGGGUGAUCUACCUUCGAGUGGGGAACAACAUCGGGAAACUGGUGCUAAUACCGCAUGACAUCCUCGGAUCAAUCUGGGGAUCAAAGCUGGGGACCGUAAGGCCUGGCGCUUGAAGACGAGCCCGCGUCCGAUUAGCUAGUUGGCGGGGUAAUGGCCCACCAAGGCUUCGAUCGGUAGCCGGCCUGAGAGGGCGGACGGCCACACUGGGACUGAGACACGGCCCAGACUCCUACGGGAGGCAGCAGUGGGGAAUUUUUCGCAAUGGGGGAAACCCUGACGAAGCAACGCCGCGUGGAGGAUGAAGGCCUUCGGGUCGUAAACUCCUGUCAACCGGGACGAAUGCAGUCUGGCUUAAUACGCCGGGCUGUUGACUGUACCGGUGGAGGAAGCCACGGCUAACUCUGUGCCAGCAGCCGCGGUAAUACAGAGGUGGCAAGCGUUGUUCGGAAUUACUGGGCGUAAAGGGCGCGUAGGCGGUUUCGUAAGUCCCGUGUGAAAGCCCCCGGCUCAACUGGGGAACUGCACGGGAAACUGCGAGGCUUGAGUUCGGGAGAGGGAAGCGGAAUUCCGGGUGUAGCGGUGA
rnacentral:rRNA from 1 species